rnacentral:rRNA from 1 species
GGAAAAACUUGGGCGGCGUGCCUACCAUGCAAGUCGGAUGUGCCGCAGGUGCAUGGCAUUACGGGUGAGUAACGCGUGGGGAACCUACCUCUUUGUGGGGAAUAACGCUCCGAAAGGAGUGGUAAUACCGCAUGAGACCGCGAGCUGGGAUGCUUGUGGUGAAACCUGGGGACCGGCAACGGCCUGGGGCAAGGAGAGGGUCCUGCGUCUGAUUAGCUAGUUGGCGGGGUAAUGGCCCACCAAGGCGACGAUCAGUAGCCGGCCUGAGAGGGUGAUCGGCCACACUGGAACUGAGACACGGUCCAGACUCCUACGGGAGGCAGCAGUGGGGAAUUUUGCGCAAUGGACGAGAGUCUGACGCAGCAACGCCGCGUGGGUGAUGAAGGUCUUCGGACUGUAAAACCCUGUCGUCAGGGACGAAGGUGGGGGCGUUAAUAGCGUUUUCACUUGACGGUACCUGGAGAGGAAGCCCCGGCUAACUCUGUGCCAGCAGCCGCGGUAAUACAGAGGGGGCAAGCGUUAUUCGGAAUUAUUGGGCGUAGGGGCGCGUAGGCGGUUUUUUAAGUCAGAUGUGU